AACGAACGCUGGCGGCAUGCCUAACACAUGCAAGUCGAACGAUGGCUUCGGCCAUAGUGGCGCACGGGUGAGUAACACGUGGGAACCUGCCUUUCGGUUCGGAAUAACGUUUGGAAACGAACGCUAACACCGGAUACGCCCUUCGGGGGAAAGUUUACGCCGAGAGAGGGGCCCGCGUCCGAUUAGGUAGUUGGUGGGGUAACGGCCUACCAAGCCGACGAUCGGUAGCUGGUCUGAGAGGAUGAUCAGCCACACUGGGACUGAGACACGGCCCAGACUCCUACGGGAGGCAGCAGUGGGGAAUAUUGGACAAUGGGCGCAAGCCUGAUCCAGCAAUGCCGCGUGAGUGAUGAAGGCCUUAGGGUUGUAAAGCUCUUUCGCACGCGACGAUGAUGACGGUAGCGUGAGAAGAAGCCCCGGCUAACUUCGUGCCAGCAGCCGCGGUAA
rnacentral:rRNA from 1 species